UGAGGAAUAUUGCUCAAUGGGCGAAAGCCUGAAGCAGCAACGCCGCGCGCGCGAUGAAGGUCUUCGGAUCGUAAAGCGCUUUUGAGAGGGACGAGAUAGGACGGUACCUCUUGAAUAAGUCACGGCUAACUACGUGCCAGCAGCCGCGGUAAAACGUAGGUGGCAAGCGUUAUCCGGAUUCACUGGGCGUAAAGCGCGUGCAGGUGGCUUCGUAAGUUGGACGUUAAAUCUUUCGGCCUAACCGGGAGGUGUCGUUCAAUACUGCGGGGCUUGAGGGUAGAAGAGGGGGGUGGAAUUGCCGGUGUAGUGGUGAAAUGCGUAGAUAUCGGCAGGAACACCUGUGGCGAAAGCGGCCCCCUGGUCUGCUCCUGACACUCAGACGCGAAAGCUAGGGGAGUGAACG
rnacentral:rRNA from 1 species